UUUAGUACGUAGGCGCCAUGGAUGGUGAAUCGUGUAUGCUACUGGCACGGGCAGGUGGUAUCUUUGGAAGAUAC
rfam:Glossina brevipalpis unplaced genomic scaffold Scaffold69, whole genome shotgun sequence.